UGGGGAAUAUUGCACAAUGGGCGAAAGCCUGAUGCAGCAACGCCGCGUGCUGGAUGACGGCCUUCGGGUUGUAAACCGCUUUCAGCAGGGACGAAGGUUUUCUGACGGUACCUGCAGAAGAAGCACCGGCUAACUACGUGCCAGCAGCCGCGGUGAUACGUAGGGUGCGAGCGUUGUCCGGAAUUAUUGGGCGUAAAGAGCUUGUAGGCGGUCCGUUGCGUCGGAAGUGAAAACUCAGGGCUUAACCCUGAGCCUGCUUUCGAUACGGGCGGACUUGAGGGAUGUAGGGGAGAACGGAAUUCCUGGUGGAGCGGUGGAAUGCGCAGAUAUCAGGAGGAACACCAGUGGCGAAGGCGGUUCUCUGGACAUUUCCUGACGCUGAGAAGCGAAAGCGUGGGGAGCAAACAGGCUUAGAUACCCUGGUAGUCCACGCCGUAAACGGUGGGCACUAGGUGUGGGACCCAUUCCACGGGUUCCGUGCCGUAGCUAACGCAUUAAGUG
rnacentral:rRNA from 1 species